rnacentral:rRNA from 1 species
GACGAACGCUGGCGGCGUGCUUAACACAUGCAAGUGGAGCGACGAACCAGGGCUUGCCCUGGGGCAAAGCCGCGAACGGGUGAGUAACACGUGGGUAACCUGCCUCGAUGAUCGGGACAACCCGGGGAAACCCGAGCUAAUACCGAAUGUGCUCCGACCACAUCAGUGGACGGCGUAAAGGAAGCUUCGGCCUCCGCAUCGAGAUGGGCCCGCGGCCCAUUAGCUUGUUGGUGGGGUAAAGGCCUACCAAGGCUUCGAUCGGUAGCCGGCCUGAGAGGGCACACGGCCACACUGGCACUGAAACACGGGCCAGACUCCUACGGGAGGCAGCAGUGGGGAAUCUUGCACAAUGGGCGAAAGCCUGAUGCAGCGACGCCGCGUGAGCGAUGAAGCCCUUCGGGGUGUAAAGCUCUUUCGACGGGAACGAUAAUGACGGUACCCGGAGAAGAAGCUGCGGCUAACUACGUGCCAGCAGCCGCGGUAAUACGUAGGCAGCGAGCGUUGUUCGGAAUUACUGGGCGUAAAGAGUGUGUAGGCGGUGCUCCCAGUCUGUUGUGAAAUCUCCCGGCUUAACUGGGAGGGUGCAGCGGAAACUAGAGUGCUAGAGGGUGGGAGAGGUAAGCGGAAUUCCUGGUGUAGCGGUGAAAUGCGUAGAUAUCAGGAGGAACACCUGUGGUGUAGACAGCUUACUGGACCACUUCUGACGCUGAGACACGAAAGCGUGGGUAGCAAACAGGAUUAGAUACCCUGGUAGUCCACGCCGUAAACGAUGAUAACUAGCUGUCCGGGCACUUGGUGCUUGGGUGGCGCAGCUAACGCAUUAAGUUAUCCGCCUGGGGAGUACGGCCGCAAGGUUAAAACUCAAAGAAAUUGACGGGGGCCCGCACAAGCGGUGGAGCAUGUGGUUUAAUUCGACGCAACGCGAAGAACCUUACCCAGGCUUGAACUGCAGAUGACAUCCUACGAAAGUAGGCUUCCGCAAGGACGUCUGUAGAGGUGCUGCAUGGCUGUCGUCAGCUCGUGUCGUGAGAUGUUGGGUCAAGUCCCGCAACGAGCGCAACCCUUGUCUUCUGUUGCCAUCGGGUUAUGCCGGGCACUCUGAAGAGACUGCCGGUGACAAACCGGAGGAAGGUGGGGAUGACGUCAAGUCAGCAUGGCCUUUAUGUCUGGGGUCACACACGUGCUACAAUGGCCGGUACAAACCGUCGCGAUACCGUAAGGUGGAGCUAAUCGGAGAAAGCCGGUCUCAGUUCGGAUUGUAGGCUGCAACUCGCCUGCAUGAAGUUGGAAUCGCUAGUAAUCGCGGAUCAGCACGCCGCGGUGAAUACGUUCCCGGGCCUUGUACACACCGCCCGUCACAUCACGAAAGCUGGCUGUACUAGAAGUAGCUGCGCUAACCCGCAAGGGAGGCAGGUUCCUAAGGUAUGGUCAGUGAUUGGGGUG